rnacentral:rRNA from 1 species
UACGAAGGGGGCUAGCGUUGUUCGGAAUCACUGGGCGUAAAGCGCGCGUAGGCGGAUUGUUAAGUCGGGGGUGAAAUCCCGAGGCUCAACCUCGGAACUGCCUUCGAUACUGGCGAUCUUGAGUCCGGGAGAGGUGAGUGGAAUUCCUAGUGUAGAGGUGAAAUUCGUAGAUAUUAGGAAGAACACCAGUGGCGAAGGCGGCUCACUGGCCCGGUACUGACGCUGAUGUGCGAAAGCGUGGGGAGCAAACAGG